rnacentral:rRNA from 1 species
AUUGAACGCUGGCGGCAGGCCUAACACAUGCAAGUCGAACGGUAACAGGAAGCAGCUUGCUGCUUUGCUGACGAGUGGCGGACGGGUGAGUAAUGUCUGGGAAACUGCCUGAUGGAGGGGGAUAACUACUGGAAACGGUAGCUAAUACCGCAUAACGUCGCAAGACCAAAGAGGGGGACCUUCGGGCCUCUUGCCAUCGGAUGUGCCCAGAUGGGAUUAGCUAGUAGGUGGGGUAACGGCUCACCUAGGCGACGAUCCCUAGCUGGUCUGAGAGGAUGACCAGCCACACUGGAACUGAGACACGGUCCAGACUCCUACGGGAGGCAGCAGUGGGGAAUAUUGCACAAUGGGCGCAAGCCUGAUGCAGCCAUGCCGCGUGUAUGAAGAAGGCCUGCGGGUUGUAAAGUACUUUCAGCGGGGAGGAAGGGAGUAAAGUUAAUACCUUUGCUCAUUGACGUUACCCGCAGAAGAAGCACCGGCUAACUCCGU